rfam:Hordeum vulgare subsp. vulgare, WGS project CAJW01000000 data, contig: morex_contig_1339154
GAUUUCAAUUAAUCAAGAACGAAAGUUGGGGGCUCGAAGACGAUCAGAUACCGUCCUAGUCUCAACCAUAAACGAUGCCGACCAGGGAUCGGCGGAUGUUGCUUAUAGAACUCCGCCGGCACCUUAUGAGAAAUCAAAGUCUUUGGGUUCCGGGGGGAGUAUGGUCGCAAGGCUGAAACUUAAAGGAAUUGACGGAAGGGCACCACCAGGCGUGGAGCCUGCGG